UGCCCAGACUCCUACGGGAGGCAGCAGUGGGGAAUAUUGGGCAAUGGGGGAAACCCUGACCCAGCGACGCCGCGUGAGGGAAGAAGGUUUUCGGAUUGUAAACCUCUGUCCUUGGUGACGAUAAUGACGGUAGCCAAGGAGGAAGCCACGACUAACUACGUGCCAGCAGCCGCGGUAAUACGUAGGUGGCGAGCGUUGUCCGGAAUUACUGGGUGUAAAGGGAGCGUAGGCGGGUUGACAAGUCAGAUGUGAAAUCCUGCGGCUUAACCGCAGAACUGCAUUUGAAACUGUUGAUCUUGAGUACUGGAGAGGCAGACGGAAUUCCUAGUGUAGCGGUGAAAUGCGUAGAUAUUAGGAGGAACACCAGUGGCGAAGGCGGUCUGCUGGACAGCAACUGACGGUGAGGCGCGAAAGCGUGGGGAGCAAACAGGAUUAGAUACCCUAGUAGAC
rnacentral:rRNA from 1 species